rnacentral:tRNA from 1 species
GCGAAAGUGGCGGAACUGGCAGACGCGCCAGACUUAGGAUCUGGUGGGGAAACCCUUGGGGGUUCGACUCCCCCCUUUCGCA